rnacentral:rRNA from 1 species
UGAAGGCUGAAAUUCGCCUUCAUGAAGCCGGAAUUGCUAGUAAUGGCAGGUCAGCAUACUGCCGUGAAUACGUUCCCGGGCCUUGUACACACCGCCCGUCACACCAUGAGAGUUGGGAAUACCCGAAGCCUGUGAGCUAACUUUUAGAGGCAGCAGUCGAAGGUAGAAUCAAUGAUUGGGGUGAAGUCGUAACAAGGUACC